rnacentral:rRNA from 1 species
GUAUCAUGGCUCAGGAUGAACGCUAGCGACAGGCCUAACACAUGCAAGUCGAGGGGCAGCGGAGAGGUAGCAAUACCUUUGCCGGCGACCGGCGCACGGGUGAGUAACACGUAUGCAAUCCACCUGUAACAGGGGGAUAACCCGGAGAAAUCCGGACUAAUACCCCAUAAUAUGGGCGUUCCGCAUGGAGAGCUCAGUUAAAAGAGGAGUCAAUUUUUGGUUACAGACGAGCAUGCGCUCC